UAGAAGACGAUUUCCAGUGAAAAUACUGG
rnacentral:piRNA from 1 species